rnacentral:rRNA from 1 species
AUUGAACGCUGGCGGCAGGCCUAACACAUGCAAGUCGAACGAGUGGCGGACGGGUGAGGACUGUCUGGGAAACUGCCGGAUGGAGGGGGAUAACUACUGGAAACGGUAGCUGAUACCGCAUACUAUCGGAUGUGCCCAGAUGGGAUUAGCUAGUAGGUGGGGUAAAGGCUCACCAAGGAGACGAUCCCUAGCUGGUCUGAGAGGAUGACCGGCCACACUGGAACUGAGACACGGUCCAGACUCCUACGGGAGCAAGAAGUGGGGAUUAUUGCACAAUGGGCGCAAGCUUGCUACAGACAGCCCGCGUGUAGGAAGAAGGCCUUCGGGUUGUAAAGUACUUUCAGCGGGGAGGCGUUACCCGCAGAAGAAGCACCGGCUAACUACGUGCCAGCAGCCGCGGUAAUUC